AAAGAAGCAAAUAUAUGAGCCGAGGCAGAGAAUUGGGGCCAUGUUUGCAAUGACUCUAUAACAAAUAAUUAUGACGUACAUGGAAAGCUACUCUUUUUCCCACUAAUGAGGCAGAAUCAAAGACUUAAGGAAACUGCAGGCCACAGUGACCAACAGGAUACGUGCAGCCGACUAAGGCUUCCUGCUCCCCAAACCAGGUAAAUAUUUGACUCUGUCAUACAUAUUUUUCCUGAUGCAUAAGACUCAAGAAAAUUUACCCAACUUCAAACUGGUACCCAGAGGAGAGAGGAUGAGACAUAUCUUUUUCAAGAUAUGGAAACUGAGGCUCAGCUAGAAAGAGAUAGAACUGGGGUUUGAGCCUUGACCAUUUGAUGUCAGAUUCUGAGCACAACCUCCGAAGCACACAGACCCUCAGCACAUUGCGUUUCUGAGGUAACUGUGGAUUCAGGUCCUCACACAGGAUGCAACCCACCUGCCAGUCUUCAAGGAGAAGCCGAGUGCCAAAUUAUAAACUGACACAACAGAGCAAUAAGGAGUGAAUGAUUAUGUUUCAAAAGGAUUCUCCAGUUUAUGAAGUCAUUUCCCCAGCAGCGAGCUCUCCCUGGGUACUGAGUCAGGUUGGAAUUUGAAGUGCAGUUGCUUCGUAGGAUUUGAUUCAUAACCUCCCCUAUCGCUCAUUUAAAGCAACAGGGAGGAUUUGUAUUUAUGGAUCGCUUUCGAGAAGUCUAGAAUCCUUCGCCCCCUCCUGCCGCGUUCUCCGACUGUCCGUGCGGGAGUUCAAUCCCUAUCUCACAGACGGGAGAAGGGGCACAGAGAGAUGGAAGGACCAGACCCCUGGCAUUGCAGGAGGGCGAAGCUGCGCCUGACACACACGGCCCUGCACUCGAGGCCUCUCUGCGGUGCCUUCACUCACCUGGGCCUGGAGGAGGGAGACACCUCAUUUAAAAAAGUUCCCGGCGAGUCCACACAGCCCGUGUAGGGCAGCUGCCUGGUCCUAUUAAACUCCCCAGACAGUGAUUUCUCUAGUAGCCAAAGGGCAUUUGUUUCUUACCCAUUUUCACACAGCC